AGGGUUUGAUCCUGGCUCAGGAUGAACGCUAGCGGCAGGCCUAAUACAUGCAAGUCGAGGGGUAACAGGGAUAGCAAUAUCUGCUGACGACCGGCGCACGGGUGCGUAACACGUUUGUAAUCUGCCCUCAACUGGGGGAUAGCCCGGAGAAAUCCGGAUUAAUACCCCAUAAUAGAAGACAAGGCAUCUUGUUUUUUUGAAAAUUCCGAUGGUUGAGGAUGAACAUGCGUCUGAUUAGUUUGUUGGUGAGGUAACGGCUCACCAAGACUACGAUCAGUAGGGGUACUGAGAGGUUAAACCCCCACACUGGUACUGAGACACGGACCAGACUCCUACGGGAGGCAGCAGUAAGGAAUAUUGGACAAUGGGCGAGAGCCUGAUCCAGCCAUGCCGCGUGCAGGAAGAAGGCCCUAUGGGUCGUAAACUGCUUUUGAACGAGAGAAAACCCGAGUACGUGUACUCGGCUGAUAGUAUCGUUAGAAUAAGCAUCGGCUAACUUCGUGCCAGCAGCCGCGGUAAGACGAAGGAUGCAAGCGUUAUCCGGAUUCAUUGGGUUUAAAGGGAGCGUAGGCGGACUUAUAAGUCAGUGGUGAAAUCUUCGAGCUUAACUCGGAAACUGCCAUUGAUACUGUAGGUCUAGAGUACAGUUGCCGUUGGCGGAAUAUGACAUGUAGUGGUGAAAUACUUAGAUAUGUCAUAGAACACCGAUUGCGAAGGCAGCUAACGAAGCUGUAACUGACGCUGAGGCUCGAAAGUGCGGGGAUCAAACAGGAUUAGAUACCCUGGUAGUCCGCACUGUAAACGAUGAUUACUCGUUGCUGGGAAGCAAUUUCCAGUGACCAAGCGAAAGCGAUAAGUAAUCCACCUGGGGAGUACGCCGGCAACG
rnacentral:rRNA from 1 species